UCUUAAUAUUAAAUGCGUGUAUUUACAAGUUAUUUAACAAUUUUAAAAUUAUGGUUAUUGACGAGCCUUGGGAAGGCCACACAUAUAAAUAAUAGAUCCUUGACCUUACUGUUGCCAGGACGAGUUCAUUGCUCGGAGGAAGACACCUUGUUAGGCUAAUAAAGCCGAAAGAGCAUCGAAAAAUUUACCACGAUCUUCACUCUUCACUUCGACAACU